CCCAACAACAAGCCUAAUCCAGCUAAAAAAGAAACAUCUUUGUUUCAGCCGAAAAAAUUAAACAAAACAUUAAAGACACUUUACAUCAUUCCGAUACUUUCACAGCCAUUCCCCCCUUCGUCUCUUCCUCUCCCCCAAAGCUACUUAGUCACUAGAGACCCUUCACAACUUAGACUCUCCUAUCCCUCUCCAUCGCUUCUCUAUCAAACUUGGGGACCUCAUCUCUUAAGCACCACUGUUCUCCUAUCUUCAAUCCCUCAGUAGCCAGCAAGUGAGUGACGUCGUUCACCGUUCUGGGGCAAUAUUUGAAUAUACAGUGAGUGCAUCUCCUUUAACCUCCGUAUCCAUUAGUCCUAGAUCUAGUCCCACCUGGAUCCUUUGAAUGCAUACAAUCGCUUCUACCGCAAAGACUGAAGGCUGUGUCAAAAUUGAUUUUUACGAACGGGGGCUUUGAUGGUUGCCAACUUUCCAACUCCACACGCCGAACAUAUAAGGGAAUCUAUACCCCAUCAAGUUCUUGAACAUAAUUUCUUAUUCAAGUUGCAAUAGUGUUCCCAGAUCUUUUCUAACCCUCAUGAAUCCACUUAUUCUGUUCUGUCCAAAUAGACCAUAGAGCACAUACGAACAUUCUACACUGGUUAUUGGUGUUAUGCUCAAAGAACCAGGUAACCCACUCCAAUAUCUCUAUUCUUGACACCCUUUCUGGCCAGGACCAGCCUAAAUGAUUCCAUUUAUCUUUUGUCUCAGGCACUCACGCAGGGCAAGGAUAUCGGUUUCAAUUCCACCUGCACAUCUCAGACAGAUACUAGAAUUAGUAACUCUUCUAUAGUGUAGAUUACAUAGGGUAGGAAGAUAAUUUUUUGAGAUUCGCCAGAUUGUAAUUUUCAGUUUAGAGGGUAAUUUUAAACCCCACAAUUUUUUUUUGUAAAAAUUCCCUAUUUCUGCCUGAUUAUAUACAUGUGUAGCCUCUGCUCUUUGCUGUAAUAGAGCUUUGUAUGCGCUUCAGACUGCGAAUUCUCCAGAUGCCUUCCCUCGCCCCACCUGGUAGUCUUCAUGUUGGUAAUUGGAUAGAGGGCUAUUCAGAAUCCUUCUAGCAUCAUUGUCACUGAAGAUUCUGUAAUUUUCAGCUUCUGUAACUCACGCUGUAUCACGAACUGGAAUUUUGGUCCCACUCCCGGUCCCACUCCCAACUCUCCUGCCCAACCCCUCUUGGAGAACUCCCUUUGCAGUCCAAAUGCUCAUCCAGGUAUAGGAAAGUAUAUUUCCUAACCUUGCAUUCUUAAAGUUUGAAUUCAGAUAAUACUUCGCUUU